rnacentral:tRNA from 1 species
UCUGUGGUGGUCCAGUAAGGCUAAGACUCUGUGCUCACAAUGCAGGGGGCCCAGGUUCAACCCCUGGUCAGGGAA